UACGGAAAAGGUGUCACUGCAUCUAUUGUAUAUGGUGAUUUGCCUAGGAAAGGUAAAUAUUCUCACACGUAUAUGGGAAAUAAAAAUAAAUUUGAAGCAAUGAAGCAAAUACUUGAUCAGCAAGAUAAGCUUAUUAUGGAGCAGAGUAAACAAAUACAAGAGCUGAUAAAAAUGAACAAACAAAGAUUAGCACCAGAAGCUACCAAAGCUGUUUCAGUAUCUUCAUCUCAUGAUCAUUCAAUCUCUCGUCGUCCUUCAGUAUCAUCCUCUAGCAUGAUGCCUUUACG
rnacentral:lncRNA from 1 species